UUUUCUUCCCCAGUUGAGUUCGAGUGCGUGCUUCCCCAAUGGAGUCACUAUCCCCUGCUUGGUUCAGGCAUUUCAUCUUUGUUCUGAUUUACCUGUUUCCCCCCUGCAGAUUAUUCCCUUUACUCCCCGGCUGAGUCUUUCCAUUGAUUUAUUUUCAUGGAAUUCCUCGAGUCCCCCAGCAAUUUUAAGUCGUGGCCUGGCCUACGCACAAC
rnacentral:lncRNA from 1 species